rnacentral:rRNA from 1 species
UGGGGAAUAUUGGACACUGGGCGAAAGCCUGAUCCAGCCAUGCCGCGUGAGUGAUGAAGGCCCUAGGUUUGUAAAGCUCUUUUGUGCGGGAAGAUAAUGACGGUACCGCAAGAAUAAGCCCCGGCUAACUUCGUGCCAGCAGCCGCGGUAAUACGAAGGGGGCUAGCGUUGCUCGGAAUCACUGGGCGUAAAGGGUUAGUAGGCGGGUUUCUAAGUCAGAGGUGAAAGCCUGGAGCUCAACUCCAGAACUGCCUUUGAUACUGGAAGUCUUGAGUUCGGGAGAGGUGAGUGGAACUGAGGGUGUAGAGGUGAAAUUCGUAGAUAUUCGCAAGAACACCAGUGGCGAAGGCGGCUCACUGGCCCGAUACUGACGCUGAGGCACGAAAGCGUGGGGAGCAAACA